UCUACCUACCCUAUUGGUUCAUUUAUGCUGAGUCACUUCCCUGACCCCUCCCUGGGGCCUGUCCAUUAUUCUGAGGCCCCUCCCUUUCACCUAGAAAGUUCUACCCAGGGCCUCGGGUGAUAGGCUGGUUCCCGGGGUCCCCUCCCUCCCUCUCACCCCAUUGGAUGUUUCCACUGCUUGUCACCUCGGUUUCCACCCGCAGUUGUCAUCCCGUUGGUUGACUGUUGUUCCCGCCCCUUGUUCCUCCCCCAUAUAAAAGGCCAUGCACACACUGCUCAGGGCUUUUUGGGGUUUAUCUCCCUUCAGGCUAUAAUUGUCUCCUAAGACUGCUAAUAAACUCAGACUGUCGAUGCCCCCAAAAGGACCACUCCUUUGCUUUUGUCAAUGCUGCUCCAUGUCUCUCCAAGUCUGGUGGCUUUGGGCCUGCAGUGGCAUGUGAAUGUGGCCCUUGCUGCCCGCAGUGCCAAGGACACCGGGCUAGCUGACAUUUGGGGAGGCACUGCGACAGCUUGGUAUGCAAGUCCUGGGUCUUAGCUAAUGUGCAGACUUCCAGUAGCUAAUUUACCUCAGCAUUUUUUGAGGACCAAGAGAGAACUGGAUCAUCACUCCUGUUAAAUGGAGACUCCUUCUGACUGAUAGAAAUGCACUUUUUUGAAGCCACACUCAGGUUUGGAAUAUUGAUUCUCUUGGACUACAGAACUUUAAUCUCAAGAGACAUCUGUAUAAACUAAUUUAGUAUCAGAGUCAAAGGGUUUAUUUACAUGGAGAAUUGAUCAGCAUUGCUAGAGCAGAAAUGGCUUUACUUCAGUGUUACUCCCUCAUGUGAAUGUUGUGCUCUGGAAUAAAAUGGACUUUGUUUUGAAA